UGCUCAUCCAGAGGGGUGGAGGGACCGGCCCUACGAAGCCCCGGCAACCAUCUCAGCAUGCGAUACUCGCGCUCCUCGCGAGGCUGCUGGGGCAGGUGCCAACUCCGGCCUGGGGUCAAGGUGGCCACCAGGAAAGAUGAGGG
rnacentral:ncRNA from 2 species